UAAUACGGAGGGUGCAAGCGUUAAUCGGAAUUACUGGGCGUAAAGCGCACGCAGGUGGUUUGUUAAGUCAGAUGUGAAAUCCCCGAGCUUAACUUGGGAACUGCAUUUGAAACUGGCAAGCUAGAGUCUUGUAGAGGGGGGUAGAAUUCCAGGUGUAGCGGUGAAAUGCGUAGAGAUCUGGAGGAAUACCGGUGGCGAAGGCGGCCCCCUGGACAAAGACUGACGCUCAGGUGCGAAAGCGUGGGGAGCAAACAGGAUUAGAUACCCUGGUAGUCCACGCUGUAAACGAUGUCGACUUGGAGGUUGUGCCCUUGAGGCGUGGCUUCCGGAGCUAACGCGUUAAGUCGACCGCCUGGGGAGUACGGCCGCAAGGUUAAA
rnacentral:rRNA from 1 species